AGGUACUGAUGAUGGGAUGGCUAGCACAAAAGAAUGGAAAUGUAUGUCUCAGCUCUUAGAGCAAGGUUAAUCAGCCGCUAUGCCUAUGCUUCAGCUUCCUUGCCUGUAAAACUGGCAAGCUACAUUCACCAGAGGAUCUGAGGAGAGAGAAGCUGUGGACCAAACGAGAAAAUGCGGACCUAUUGAUUGCAGCUUGCUGGAGGAAGCUCUCACUGUCUAAUUACUGCCCCAGCUCAGCCUGUCACCGUGUCCUCUGCAGUCAGCGCAUCCUGACACUGACCCCUGAUACCACAGCUCUUGGCAUAUCAGCCUGUUCUGGCACUCUGCGCCCGACCCGGAGGAGGGCUGCAAGCCUGGAGCCCCUGGGGAGAGAGCACAGAUGAGCUGAGUCACACCGCAAUACUCAACACAGUCCUUGACCUUGGUCGGUGCACUGAGGGUCAUUUCCUCAGUCUCAUCCAGUCUUUACAAAACUGGCCACUGGUGCCCUAAAUUGAAACCAGAAUCCUGAUCUAUAGAGCCA
ensembl:lncRNA